GGGAAGAAGAAAAGGGGGGAAAGAAAAGGGAAAGAGAGGUUAUUCCGGAGAGUAUGCCUGUUUGAGGGUCAGUUUAAAUAAAAAUCGGUGUGGUUGCUGCCUUUCGUGGUGACGCACCGGAUGUGGGUCGUCUUGCCUUCGGUUAAGUGACCUAAAAUUUUGCAUGAUUUUUUCGAACGUAUUUAAAUGAUUUUACGUACGUUUGCGAUAUCGAAUACUAGGUGCGGUCAUCCGCAUGAUACAACCCUACAAUUUCUCAUCACAAGUAACUCAAAUCAGGUAAGAGUACCCGCUGAACUUA
rnacentral:misc_RNA from 1 species